rnacentral:lncRNA from 1 species
AUGCGCAGAAGGGUUGCUUGAUUGCAGUCCGUGUCAGUUGGACUUCGAACGCCGUGCAGGACACUAGCUUUAAAAAAAGAGAAUCAUUUCCUACGGCAUUUCGUAUAAUAUGCUUGACUUUUACGCAAUAACUAUUACGACAAAUGUUUUCUACUUUCGUAAAGGUUUUUAUUAAGAAUAUAACAACAAGAAAUUAAUAUAUUAAAUCUUACCUUAAUGAAUAUUCUAAAUAGAAAGUAUAAUAGAAACAUAAACUUAUUAAUUUGUAAAGCGAAUGUACCUGUCAACACAUUAAUAUACUUAGAUGUGUCAUUUAUUUCUAAUAUAAAAAGUGCUUUUCGCAUAAGCUAAAAAGAAUUUAAAUUAUCAUGAAAACAGCCAAUGCAAUAUCGAUAAUAAUUAAAUACUUACCCCAGCAAAAACUUGGUGCGAUGAGACAAACAUAUUUCCGAUUGAUAAAAAGCACGGUUUUCCACUUCUAGCUAUUAUAAAUAGUAGCAAUUUUUGUGUAUUUAUGGAUAAUGUAUAAAACGGAACGUCACACCUAUAAACAAAUAUUCUAUUAUCAUCCUUACACAAGCUUGCUUUUUUAAACGAUAGAAGAAAAAGUAGUUGGAAAAAAAUAUUGUAAAGUUCUAUAAUAAAAAUUAUUUUACAUCAUAUUACUGACCAAUAAAUAAUAAAAUAUUACAAAAUAAACAAAUUUAUUAUGUCCUUACAAUUCUUCAAGAACUGCAUUGCUAUGAUUCAUCAACCUUUGUCCAAGAUAAAAAUUUAUAUACACAGUAAAAGCUGCACCAGUUACAUAAAGGAUGCAUUCUAUUUUGUUUUCUAGAGUUUUUAAUAAUACCGAAAAUUGAAGAAUCUAAAAGAAAAAAUAAAUGGUUAUUUUUAUAGUGAACAGACUUUUUGUGAAAUUUUUAAACUUGAUGCAAACAUAAAACACAUAAUUCUAUAAUAACACAUUUUUAUUGAAACGAAAUUUUAAUAUUGUUAAGUGCAGUAAUCGUGAAAACUUGUGUUUUUAAAAAUGUUUUUUAACAAACGGUUAUAACAGCACAAGUAAUAAAACAUAGCAGUCCCUACG